CGAGCAGUCCAGACAGCGGCGGGUGGAGGCCGAAAGGCCCCAUCUGAGGAAAGUCCGAGCUUCACAGGGCAAGGGUAGCUGCUAACGGCAGCCGGAGGCGACUCCAGGGACAGUGCAACAGAGAGAUACCGCCGGAGAAGGAGCUUUUCCGGCAAGGGUGGAAAGGCGAGGUAAGAGCUCACCAGCGCCCGGGAGACCGGGCGGCUAUGUAAACCCUACCCGAAGCAACACCGCACAGGGGCAGUAA
rnacentral:RNase_P_RNA from 1 species